GAUGAAGAACGCAGCGAAACGCGAAAGGUAAUGCGAAUUGCAGAAUCAGUGAGUCAUCGAAUCUUUGAACGCACAUUGCGCCCCUUGGUAUUCCGGGGGGCACGCCUGUUCGAGCGCCAUUACACACCCCAAGCUAAGCUUGAUGUUGGGCGAUGUCUGUCACAGGACACGCCUGGAACGUAUGGGCGCCGCCGCCGGAUCACGAGUGUAGCAAGACGCAAGUCAUCGCUCGGUCGGUCCUGGUGGUUGGCCGCCGCGGCUCAUGGUAACACAUGGGCCAGUAACUUUUCACAAGUUUGGCCUCGAAUCAGGCGGGGAUACCCGCUGAACUUAAGCAUAUCAAUAAGCGGAGGA
rnacentral:misc_RNA from 1 species